AUUGAACGCUGGCGGCAGGCUUAACACAUGCAAGUCGAGCGGAGAUGAGGUGCUUGCACCUUAUCUUAGCGGCGUACGGGUGAGUAAUGCUUAGGAAUCUGCCUAUUAGUGUGGGGCAACAUUCCGAAAGGAAUGCUAAUACCGCAUACGCCCUACGGGGGAAAGCAGGGGAUCUUCGGACCUUGCUCUAAUAGAUGAGCCUAAGUCGGAUUGGCUAGUUGGUGGGGUAACGGCCUACCAAGGCGACGAUCUGUAGCGGGUCUGAGAGGAUGAGCCGCCACACUGGGACUGAGACACGGCCCAGAGUCCUACGGGAGGUAGCAGUGGGGAAUAUUGGACAAUGGGGGGAAGCCUGAUCCAGCCAUGCCGCGUGUGUGAAGAAGGCCUUAUGGUUGUAAAGCACUUUAAGCGAGGAGGAGGCUACUUUAGUUAAUACCUAGAGAUAGUGGACGUUACUCGCAGAAUAAGCACCGGCUAACUCUGUGCCAGCCGCCGCGGUAAGAC
rnacentral:rRNA from 1 species